rnacentral:rRNA from 1 species
UGCUUAAAACCUACUGCCCUAAACACACCUGAUCUCAUUUGAUUUCAAAAGAUAGGUAAGGCCAGACCUGGUUAGUAUUGGGAUGCAAGACCAUCAGGGAACACUAUGGAUAUCUAGGCAG